rnacentral:rRNA from 1 species
GACAGAGGGUGCAAACGUUGUUCGGAAUUACUGGGCGUAAAGCGCGUGUAGGCGGCUAUGCAAGUCGGGCGUGAAAGCCCACGGCUCAACCGUGGAAGUGCACUCGAAACUGCGUAGCUAGAGUCCCGGAGAGGAAGGUGGAAUACUUGGUGUAGAGGUGAAAUUCGUAGAUAUCAAGUGGAACACCGGUGGCGAAGGCGGCCUUCUGGACGGUGACUGACGCUGAGACGCGAAAGCGUGGGGAGCAAACAGG